GAAUCAGUCUCGCUGAGUCUCCGUUAACGGAGAGCGGGGGAACCAAUAGGGCUUAAACAUCGGUGAUUGUAGCCGAUGCGCAAUAUGCGCUGACCCAAAAGCAGCGUAUAAAUCUGCGAAGCCGUAUUUGAUUUCUUCUUUGGGUCUCGGGGUGAAUUCAAGGGCGUCCGCCAUGAGCGGGUGACCGGAGAUAGGGCGGCUCUCUUUCGCCCGAACCCGACAGCUAACCUCGCAAGCGGAAAAAGAGAGGCAAC
rfam:Paenibacillus sp. MAEPY2 contig45, whole genome shotgun sequence.